rnacentral:tRNA from 1 species
GAGGGUGUAGCUUAGCGGUAGAGCACACGUUUAGCAUGCUUAAGGUCCUGGGUUCAAUCCCCAGUACCUCCA